rnacentral:misc_RNA from 1 species
GGUUCUUCUUUCCUUGUUGCUGUGGCUGAGGAUUUUGGGUGCUACCUAUUGAUCCUUGGGCUUAUAGUGUACAAACCUGUGGGCCUUGUAUUUUUAUGGGUUUGAGUGGAAAUAUGUAGCAAAGUUUAUAUGUAUUGGGCUUAGAGAUCUUGUAACAUGAUUUCAUCUAAUGAAUAUCCUCUUUCUUGUUAAAAAAAAAAAAAAUGAAUAAAAUGGAGGC